GACGAACGCUGGCGGCGUGCUUAACACAUGCAAGUCGAACGGAAAGGCCCUGCUUUUGUGGGGUGCUCGAGUGGCGAACGGGUGAGUAACACGUGAGUAACCUGCCCUUGACUUUGGGAUAACUUCAGGAAACUGGGGCUAAUACCGGAUAGGAGCUCCUGCUGCAUGGUGGGGGUUGGAAAGUCUCGGCGGUUGGGGAUGGACUCGCGGCUUAUCAGCUUGUUGGUGGGGUAGUGGCUUACCAAGGCUUUGACGGGUAGCCGGCCUGAGAGGGUGACCGGCCACAUUGGGACUGGGAUACGGCCCGGACGCCUGCGGGGGGCAGCGGUGGGGAAUAUUGCACAAGGGGCGGAGGCCGGAUGCAGCAACGCCGCGUGCGGGAUGACGGCCUUCGGGUUGUAAACCGCUUUCGCCUGUGACGAGGCGGGAGUGACGGUAAUGGGUAAAGAAGCACCGGCUACCUACGU
rnacentral:rRNA from 1 species